CCUACGGGAGGCUGCAGUGAGGAAUAUUGGUCAAUGGGCGCGAGCCUGAACCAGCCAAGUAGCGUGAAGGAUGACUGCCCUACGGGUUGUAAACUUCUUUUAUCAGGGACGAAGCAAGUGACGGUACCUGAUGAAUAAGCCACGGCUAACUACGUGCCAGCAGCCGCGGUAAUACGUAGGUGGCAAGCGUUAUCCGGAUUUACUGGGUGUAAAGGGCGUGUAGGCGGGAGUGCAAGUCAGAUGUGAAAACUAUGGGCUCAACCCAUAGCCUGCAUUUGAAACUGUACUUCUUGAGUGCUGGAGAGGAAAUCGGAAUUCCGUGUGUAGCGGUGAAAUGCGUAGAUAUACGGAGGAACACCAGUGGCGAAGGCGGCUUUCUGGCUCAUAACUGACGCUGAGGCGCGAAAGCGUGGGGAGCAAACAGGAUUAGAUACCCCUGUAGUC
rnacentral:rRNA from 1 species